UGGGGGAUAUUGCACAAUGGGGGGAACCCGUGAUGCAGCGACGCCGCGUGGGUGAAGAAGCGCCUCGGCGCGUAAAGCCCUGUCAGCAGGGAAGAAAAUGACGGUACCUGAAGAAGAAGCCCCGGCUAACUACGUGCC
rnacentral:rRNA from 1 species